rnacentral:rRNA from 1 species
AACGAACGCUGGCGGCAGGCCUAACACAUGCAAGUCGAGCGCCCCGCCAGGGGAGCGGCGGACGGGUGAGUAACGCGUGGGAAUAUGCCCUUUGCUACGGAAUAGUCUCGGGAAACUGGGGGUAAUACCGUAUACGCCCUUUGGGGGAAAGAUUUAUCGGCGAAGGAUUAGCCCGCGUUGGAUUAGGUAGUUGGUGGGGUAAUGGCCUACCAAGCCGACGAUCCAUAGCUGGUUUGAGAGGAUGAUCAGCCACACUGGGACUGAGACACGGCCCAGACUCCUACGGGAGGCAGCAGUGGGGAAUCUUAGACAAUGGGGGCAACCCUGAUCUAGCCAUGCCGCGUGAGUGAUGAAGGCCUUAGGGUUGUAAAGCUCUUUAAGCUGGGAAGAUAAUGACGGUACCAGCAGAAGAAGCCCCGGCUAACUCCGUG